CACAAAUAUACCACAUAAAAAUUUAAGAACAGCAAUAUCAAAAUUUAGAAUAACAGAGUUGCGAAAGGAAAAAUUGCAAUUCUCUUACAUAUAUUUACCCUGAGUUGGACUGGAACAAAUAUUGAAAUGUUAAAAUAAUGACCUCUUUGGCUUUUCAUAAUAUGCAAACAUCGUAAAUAAUCCUUACUGCAAUUGAAAAAAUAUUCCCAUUAUUUGCCUGUUUAGUUUGCAAGAAAUUAUCAUUUUAUGCUGUCAUUUUAAGAGCCUACUAAGUGGAAAAUUUAUAUUUUUGUAAAUCUGUCCAAAUUGAUAAAUGAGAUGACAUCAAAAUUUUAAUUAAAAGAAUAUUCUGAAAAA
rnacentral:lncRNA from 1 species